AGGGCGCGAGCGUUGUCCGGAUUUAUUGGGCGUAAAGAGCUCGUAGGCGGUCUGUCGCGUCUGCUGUGAAAACUCAGGGCUUAACCCUGAGCUUGCAGUGGGUACGGGCAGACUAGAGUGCGGUAGGGGAGACUGGAAUUCCUGGUGUAGCGGUGAAAUGCGCAGAUAUCAGGAGGAACACCGGUGGCGAAGGCGGGUCUCUGGGCCGUAACUGACGCUGAGGAGCGAAAGCAUGGGGAGCGAACAGG
rnacentral:rRNA from 1 species